rnacentral:rRNA from 1 species
GACGAACGCUGGCGGCGUGCUUAACACAUGCAAGUCGAACGAGUGGCGAACGGGUGAGUAAUACGUGGGUAACCCGCCCUCUCUUUGGGAUAAGCCUUGGAAACGGGGUCUAAUACCGAAUAAAGGGGGAUGGGCUCGCGGCCUAUCAGCUUGUUGGUGGGGUGAUGGCGUACCAAGGCGGUGACGGGUAGCCGGCCUGAGAGGGUGACCGGGCACAUUGGGACUGGGAGACGGCCCAGACGCCGACGGGGGGGAGCAGUGGGGGAUAUUGCACAAUGGGCGAGGGCCUGAUGCGGCGGAGCCGCGAGGGGGAUGAAGGCUUUCGGGUUGUAAACCUGUGUCGCUAUCGAAGGGUAGGUGGAGAAGAAGCGCCGGCUAACUACGUGCCAGCCGCCGCGGUAAUAC